GAAAGGCCUAAUUUAGCCUAACGGCAGACAUAUUUAAAAAGUGUGGUUCUUAUAUUAAAACGUUGCUUUUGGUUUUCUUUAGCCUUCCCAGGCAGUAGCUGAAUAAGUUCAUUAGCUGAAGGCCAAUGCAACUCAGCUGUGACUACUGAUCAACAUGUUACAUUCUAACAAUCCGUUGAAGUUAGUGGCACCUGAGCAUUGCAUGCUGGGAGAAAUUUUUAAAAGAAUGAAGAUUCUAUCAGCGGCAGUUAAAGCAGUUAAGCUCAGCCCUCACACUGAGGUGGUUGAAAAAAGCUCUCUCAGUAUAGAUAGGUGUGUAGUUAUGUCAGAACAGAUUGUUUACUGUUCAGCUAGAACUUGAAAUGCGAAACAAAUGAAGUUACUUAGUUUAGCGUGCAUGGUAACAAACUCAAGCUUCAGAUACAUUAUUUUGCUUUUGAUUGUUUCUUGAGGAAUAUUUUACCUGUCAAUAAAUGAAAGAUUUUUUAAAAAA